rnacentral:lncRNA from 1 species
GCAGGAAGUUUCUCCUCAGACACUCCCUCUGGCUACUUGUACUCACUAACAUGGAAUCUGAAGAUAGGCAUGAAGAUAAGUCAUUAUUGCUCACUCAUGACAACAAGCAUGGUAACUGUCACUUUCUCCUUCAUAACUUUUUCCUCACAAGCCUUCCAAGAAUACACUGAAGUUGUGGUAUCUUCCCAUCCAAGAGUGAGCAGGACCCCAUGUGGUGCUGGAGACAGAUGAGAAUACCUGACCAAAACCACUUACAGAUGGUAGAGUUUAUUUUACUUUGGCUCAUAUAUCAUUGGCAUGAAGUCAUGGCAUCAGGAAUGUGCGACAACUGGUUCCACUUCACCUACCAGCAAGAAGCAUAGAGAGGAGAUUACAGUUAAUAGAGUACAUGAAUCUCAGAAGAGACUUUGAACUUUAGACCUUUAAAUAAAGUUGUAGAACUCUCAGCUCCUUCUCCAGCACCAUGUCUGCCUUCACACCACUAUGUCCUGCCAUGAUGAUAAUGGACUAAAUCUCUGAAAAUUUUGUCUCAUAGCACACAGAACUACCAGCCCAACAUGACUGCCUAAACAUGAGAAGAACAAGGACAACAACAACAGACAUGCUAAUGUGGACAGAUAAAGCCCACGAGGCCUCCAUCCUACACGAAGAACUGCAGGAAGAAGGAAGAAGCUAAGCCUCUCAUAAUGAAGACAGAUUUUUCUGGCAAAACACAAAGGAGAAGAUAAGUGUUGACCUUAAUUCUAUUCUGUUCUGGUGACUGAGGCAGAAAGGCUUCCGUGAGCUUCCCAUACCCCAUUCUCACACAAAUGGAAACCUCUCAGUGUCUCAGGCCUCCUGUUUGGUCUUUCAGCCCAAACAGGGAGCACAGCUGCGACUGUGGGAGCUCGAUUACACCAUUCCCAGAGCGUCUGAGCAGGCAAGUACUGAAGUGUGUGAUCAGGGUCCAGAGUCGUCCCCAUGUCCUCCAACAUCCACAUUUAUAGGGUCACACUGAGAAGCCCACAGUGCCGCUUUCUGUCACAAGACUAAGGCUUUCACGUGGUGACUGGGCCUCCUCUGGCAAGUAACAGCAAUGCACCCUCACUCAAGGGCUGGCAGACGGUGACCCUCUGAAAUGAAAGGGGACUUUGUUGAUGCCACACAGCUGAGGGAAGACACUAG